UCAUAGAUUGGUUAAAUGGAAAGCGGGUGUGAAUCCCGCGCGGUCCCGCCGCUGUGAAAGAGGAGUCCUUGCAAAAUGCCACUGGGAAACUGGGAAGGCAGCAAGGGUGAUGAUACUUGAGCCAGAAUAUCUGCCUUUUUCUGU
rnacentral:ncRNA from 1 species